UGGAUUGGGAGGAUUUAAUUGAUGCAUAAUCCAACACUUGAUCGGAGGGCGGCUAUAGUCGUCCAUAUGAUGUUGCACAUCUGCAUCUGAAUCCAA
rnacentral:snoRNA from 1 species